UAAUACGAAGGGGGCUAGCGUUGCUCGGAAUGACUGGGCGUAAAGGGCGCGUAGGCGGUUUGUCCAGUCAGGCGUGAAAUCCCCGGGCUUAACCUGGGGGCUGCGCUUGAUACAGGCAGACUUGAGUGUGAAAGAGGGUCGUGGAAUUCCCAGUGUAGAGGUGAAAUUCGUAGAUAUUGGGAAGAACACCGGUGGCGAAGGCGGCGACCUGGUUCAUUACUGACGCUGAGGCGCGAAAGCGUGGGGAGCAAACAGGAUUAGAUACCCUGGUAGUCCACGCCGUAAACGAUGUGUGCUGGAUGUUGGGCGACCUAGUCGCUCAGUGUCGUAGCUAACGCGGUAAGCACACCGCCUGGGGAGUACGGCCGCAAGGUUG
rnacentral:rRNA from 1 species